CGACCCCAGUCAGCGGGGUUACCGCUGAAUUUAAGCAUAUCAAUAAG
rnacentral:rRNA from 1 species